rnacentral:rRNA from 1 species
AUGGCCGACUGCCGCAGCCUCAUCGAGUUCCUCCGCGCCUUCGAGCACCGCCGCCGCGCCUCGCCCUCGCCGUGCGCCCGCCCCCGCCGCGCGGCCUCCUCCUCCUCGUCGCCAUCGUCGCGGGGAAGGCUCUUCACCUCGCUCUGCGACAACCCGCCCCCGACCGCCGCGCUCGACGCGCUCGCCCUGCUCGCCGUGCUCGGCGCGCUCGCCUUCCUGGCCGCGCCCUACGCCAGGCUGCUGGCGCGCGAGGCCGCCGACCUGGUGCGGCAGUACCCGGAGGAGCCCUACUCGUACGUCGCCUUCGCGGCGGGCGCCGGCGCGGCCGUGGCGGCCGUGGCGGGCCUGCUCGCGUGGGAGGCGGCCGGCCACCACGCGCGCAAGUGCGGCCGGCCCCGCUGCCGCGGCCUGCGCAAGGCCGUCGAGUUCGACAUCCAGCUCGAGACGGAGGAGUGCGUGCGCGGGAGCGGCCGGCUGCUGCCGCCCGGCGGCCACGCCAAGACGCUCCUCGCGGCCGCCGGCUCCGCCGCGCGCCUCGUCGAGCUCGGCGAGGAGCACCGGGAGCUCGAGGCGGAGCUCCGGAAGAUGGCGCCCCCCAACGGCCGCUCCGUGCUCAUCUUCCGCUCCCCCUGCGGCUGCGCCAAGGGCAGGAUGGAGGUCUGGGGCGCCAAGAAGGUGCGCCGGAUCAAGAAGUAG